CCUACGGGGUGCAGCAGUGAGGAAUAUUGGUCAAUGGCCGGAAGGCUGAACCAGCCAAGUCGCGUGAGGGAAUAAGGCCCUAUGGGUCGUAAACCUCUUUUGUCAGGGAGCAAAGGCGUCCACGUGUGGACGAGAGGAGAGUACCUGAAGAAAAAGCAUCGGCUAACUCCGUGCCAGCAGCCGCGGUAAUACGGAGGAUGCGAGCGUUAUCCGGAUUUAUUGGGUUUAAGGGGUGCGCAGGCGGAUUUUUCAGUCAGCGGUCAAAUCGUGGGGCUCAACCCCAUCCAGCCGUUGAAACUGGGGAUCUAGAGUGUGCGAGAGGUAUGCGGAAUGCGUGGUGUAGCGGUGAAAUGCAUAGAUAUCACGCAGAACCCCGAUUGCGAAGGCAGCAUACCGGUGCACAACUGACGCUCAGGCACGAAAGCGUGGGUAUCGAACAGGAUUAGAUACCCUAGUAGUC
rnacentral:rRNA from 1 species